AAUAUUGAUAAAGUUAUAAAUAUUUGUCAAAUAAAAAAAUAUGUAUUUUUUGGGGAUAGACUAAAAAUAAAAGUAUAUCAUACAAAUCUUUUCGUCUCGUCGAACCAUUGACUCUGAUUAUUAGGUUGAUCCAAUCCGAUAAUAUUCUUAACAUAAUAUGAUAUCGCAAAUGUCAUUAAGUAGAGAGCAUGCUAUAUGAUGGAAAUUUGUGAUGUAUGCUAUUAAGUAGAAUCAAAAUGGACAUUUGAAGUGAAGCCCACCAGGUGUUUGUUUUUUUGCCUAAAUGAAUUGCUUGAUUUUCCUAGUUUUAAUCAGCUCAAUGUAUGCAUGUUAGAAUGUAAAUAUUUUCUGCUUGCAGAAGUUAUGUUGUUCGGAUCCUGCAAAAAUGUUGCCACACCUGUGUCAGAUCCUAAAAUGUGCAUAUCUUUUUGAGGAUAUGACACAUACUGGGCGAUAUUUUAUAAGAGUCCGAGCAACAUAGACUUUUAGAAUAUGAUAACUUAUCAACAAAGUGUAUAUAAACUUCAAUAUUAUUGAAUAAUCAUUAUUUUAGUACUAAUAUGAUAGAAGUGCAUGAUUUUUCAUACUUGAACUCAAAUACAACAUACACACUAAUUGAAUGUAUAUACAUUGUUUUCACUUAUAGUGUAUUUUAACUUCUUGUAGCUGCACGUUAUGUGCUUUAUUCCAAGUUACUAGUUGACUUAUUAUGGACGAUUACCUGUAGUUAUCUUUUAUGUUACACUAUCAAUGUAUAGUUGUAACAUGUGUAUUCGUUUUUGUUCAACUAGGAAAUAAUAAUCAGUCUGCUGCUAUAGCCAUGCUACAAAAUCAGUCACUAAGGUGUGAUAUAUAUUGUAUGUAUGAACAGUGGUAGGGUAAAUUAAAGCUAGAGUUUAGCUCAAUUUCUCCCCUCAGUCUAAUACAAAUAACAGUAUUUCAUCUAGCAAUUCUCUCCUGGUAUAAGCAUGAACAUUGUAGCUUAUGAAGCAUGUACAAGGCGCUUGCCAGGAAUAGCAUCAACAUGCUGAUUGCUCGAUUGCAGCCUAUAUAGUGACUUUCUUUGUUUCCUUUUUUUUUCGUUUGGGAAAAAAAUGGGCACCACCUAGUAUACAUCUAAUGAUGAAGGUCUGUCUCGAUUACUUCAGCCAAUUCUUUCGUUAACUUUUCUGCUCUCUCAUCUUGUCCACCUGCAAAAGUAUAGACUCUGAAUGCAAAUUGGAAUGCCUUCCAAAGCUGUGUGGCUGAUUCUUUUUUGAUCCCUUCAUUUGUUGGUCCGGCUCCUUCUUUUCCCCCCGCCAUUGCUUCUCUCUUUUCCUGAUUCGACAUUGCAACAUUAUUUCAAAAAAUUGUUAACCAAAUCCAUUACGAUGGUGGUUAAUGUGAAUACCAUGUAAACAAAUGUAGAGAGUGUUGAUCUGAAUGAUGCUCUAUGCAUUCCAUAUAAACUUAUCUAUACGAGUUUAGAGAUGUUCGAGAAGAUUCUCAAACCUUAUCGGCUAAGCAUGCUUAAUUUCGGAGUUCUGAUGGGAUCUAGUGCAUUAGUGCUCGUAUGAACACAUCGUGACAAAUCUACUCUAUCUAAAUUCACACAUUGAGAUAUACUUAAAUGCAUUUCGAAUUCAUAUCUUUGUAUCAAUUAUUCACAAGAUUUAGUAUUAGAGUGAUUUUGAUUGUACUUACCUUCAGUGCAAGUUCCAUACAGUUUGAGGAAACAUCCACCAUCAAUUCUUUGAUACGUACAAGGGCGCCAAAAUCAAACUGAAUUUUAUGUGUUUUUAGUUUCUUGGAUUCUUCAUCUUUAGUCCUUUCUAGAGUGUCCACAUCUCCUUUUAUCUAUAGGAGAGAACUACUUGUUAGAACUGCAAACACGAAAUAAAGCCGUCGUGGGAAGUUUUGAGGUCCAGGGACUUAGUUUUUACCUUGUUGAAGUACCUCUCAGCUCUGGCAAGAUGUUGGCCAACAGGCGAGGCCGGUUGCCAAUUCUGUAAAGUAGAGACUAUUGAAUCUAAUUUGGAAUAGAGAGUUGCUGCCGUCCUCAACGCUUCCAACUUCUUACAAGGAAAAUCCUCAAAUCUUGCUAGGACCUGUACCAAGAAAAUCUUUAAGCCAACAUCCUGAAAUGGUUAAUUAUGACAAAAAAUAAGAAAUAUAGAACGAACCUGAGAUUCGUCAGUUAGUUUCUCAAGGUGGGAUUCGACAUAAUUGUGGAAUGUAAUGAGCUCAGACAUAUCUGAUGUAUUGAAAGAAGCAAUGGCCUUCUUCAUCUCCUUGAUUAGUUUUGCAUGAUUUUUAACAUCCUCUUCAAUUUGUUGGAAAUAUGCUGACCUGUGAGAUAUAAUUCAUAAAUAUAAAAUAUAAACAUCAUAGAAUAAGUUGCCUCCUACCAAAAUAAUUACUCUUUCAUUACAAUUUGUUUGUCUUACUUCCCUUUUCUGUCUGUUUCAAAAAGAACACCUUUUUCCUUUUUUAGCAACUCUUUAAUUCUCAACUUUCCUCAUGGCAUGUUUAAGACCGCCAGAUUAAAGAGCAUUUUAGUAGUCUUUAUUACUUUCUCAAACUCUGUGUCAAGUCAUAACCAGACAAACGAAUUGAAACGGAGGGAGUAUUUCAGAUUUCAGGAAGAUCACCUCUUUGUCAUCUCAGCCAAUGCAUCAGCCAUUCCUGGUUUACCUCCUUUUGAGGCAUUAAAUUUUCCCUUGCCUCCCUUUUGUUUACCAUCUAAACUAGAUCCUUCAACUUUCCCCUUAAGAGAUCGAUAAAGAUUUCCCAUUUGGGAUGAUCUUUUCAGUUUAGUGGCUGCUUUCUUCAGUCGUGGAUUUUUGGCACCUGCGAAAGUUGGUGGUGGUGGUGGAGGUGCGCCUCCCUUUUUCGUUUGCAUGGGUGGAGGUGGUGCUGAUCUUGGCGAUGGUGGAUUUGCAACUCUCUUUCCCAUUGGCAUUGGUGGUGGUGGAGGUGCAGCUACCUUUCCCAUUGGCGUCGGUGGAGGGGUUGGUGGCGUUGCUCUAUUUGAUGCCUUUGGUGGAAGUGGAUGUGGGGUUACCAUACCCUUUAGUCCUUUGUGAGGUGAACAUGGAGGUGGGGGCGGAGGUGGAGGUGAAUGUACAUUUUCUGAUUUCCUGGGAGGUGGCGGCGGAGGACAAGGCACUGCUCUAUUUUUUGAUGUAAUUGGAGAUGGUGGAGGUGGAGGUGGAGGUGUUACUGUGUUUCCUGAUGUAAUAUGGGCUGGUGGUGACGCUGGUUCUGGCUCCUCGUUCUCACACGAGGAAUCUGGUUGAGGUUCUGGCUGAGGUGAUGUUGGUACUUGCGAUUCUAUGAUCUUUGGUGAUAAAAUGUUUGGAGAAGGUGGUACUGAUGAUUGUUCUGUUACAUUUGAUUGCAACCUAGAAAUUGAAUAUGGAGGUAAGAGCACAUCAAAUGUAACGCGAGCUGGGACUGCUUGACCAUUUGAUGCACCGGUCCAGAAUAUUCCACCAUUUUCCGAUGCUUUCUCCAGGCUAUUCAGUAGAAUCUCCGGUAAGUCCAUUAAUUCACAAUCUUGAUUUGCUUCUGUAUUUGACCCUUUUUCAUCGACAUCGCUUCCUAGCUGAACUGAAUAGCCUGAAUCUUGAUUUGCAUUGGGGAUCAUGUGGAACGAGAGACGUCUUACCUCAAUCGGGUUCUGGUUUCCAACAGCUUGAACCUUGAGUGAUAGGAGAAGAGGGGAAGUGAUAGAAGCCUUUCCAUUCUUCUUUGAGGAAUUGGUUAUUAUCUCAGGGAGGACUGAAGUUGGAGAGCUCGAAAGGGAGGAAUUGUUGCUCGAGUAAAUCUCCGAAAAAUUCUUCUCAAAUGUGUCAGGUGAAGUACUUGUUUCUCUCGUCUGAUCACCCUCGUCCUCAGUCUCGUCCUCAUGCUCAUGCUCGACCUCAUCCUCAUGCUCAUGUUCAUCCUCGUUCGUCAUCUCUGACAUCCUUUCACUAGCUAACUUGAUAAUGUCGUCGAGCAAUGCCAACACUACAUAGGUAAUAUAAGAAAAUCGUUAUAACUGCAUAUCGAAGCAAAAAAUACAACAACAUACUAGUGUAAUCCCACAACUGGGGGUUUUGGAGGGUAGAAUGUACACAGACCUUACCCCUACCUUGGGAGGCAGAGAGGUUGUUUCCGAUAGACCCUCGGCUUAAGGAAAGCAUAUCAAACCAGAUUGAAAAAGAAACAACUAAAGUGAAUGGAUCACUGCAAAAUACUAUAGAAAACAUGACAAAGUAUUCUGAAAAAAGAACAAUAACUACACCAAAAAAGUGCAAUAAUCAAAGUAGAAGAAACAAUAGAUAGUAACAAAAAUUGAUAGACAAGAAACUACAGAGAGAUGAUCAUACCAUAUUCAAAAUCAUUUAGUUUACUGUGUGAAUUCUCUUUACAUGUAAUCAUCCACUCAUCAUUUCCUGUCCACAUUUCCCCAAUUGAUUUCAAUAUAUCACAAAAGCAUCUCACUUUCUGAAAAAAACAGGGAAACUUUGGUGAGCUCAAUAAGUUGUGAUUUUGCUUAUAAACAACAGUACUGCAUAUAUGCUAAAAGUGCUCAACUUAGGGAGUAAAUUACCUCAUGUAUUGAUGUCCCAUCUAUUUUUGACAACGAAAAAUUCGGAUUGAUCGAAGGGAACAGUUUAUGUAGAUCUCUCAGAGUUGAUAUCAACAGCUGUUGAAAAACAUGGCCAUGACAGAAAAAAGUUGGUUAAAGAGACUUCUUGUUAUUCUCUUCUGAAAAUGGCAUUGACAUUUAAGUGAGUAAGGUGACAGUAUGUUGCUCGGACUCUUCAAAAAUGUUGACGGGUGCGUCUGAUCCUCUAAAAGUAGUGCUUUCUGGAGGUUCCGAUAUAGGUGGCGAAACCAGGAACCUCGUGUGCUCAAGAUUAAGUAUAGACAAACUACAUAGAUAGACACCGUAUUUUGGCUUCAAUUGACAACUAAAUACUCCAACUUUGAGAAUGCACAUCAUCUAGACACAUCAGCUCAUCCCCACUGUCUCGUGGACACCCAAUGUUGACGUGACACAUAAAUUUUGGAGGUGUCUAGAUGAUCAUUUUGUAAGUACGACUGUUCAACUGACACCGAGGAGACUAGUUGAAGUUGUUUAUAUGUGCAUCCUCAAAGGUGGAGUGUUCACUUGCCAGUACUUGAGGCCAAGUUCAGGUGUCUUAUCUAUGUAUUAUGCCUUUAAUAUUUAUGUAUACAAGGUGAUUUUUGACCUAUGUACAUAAUAUAAUUUCUCAAUGAAGGAUGUUCACUGACCAACCCUUCAACUCUACGUAGCUAAGGUUGUUAUCCGUGCAACAGUAUUUUUGGAGAGGAGUGAUUUAACAAGUGUUGACGACAAACUAACAGAAGAAGUCAUAUAUGUACCUCAUUUGCAGAUUCAGAGCCAUCACAAGGUGAAAGAUCAAGCAAGUGUCUCAAUGUGAUGAUCUUGUUUCUUAUACCUGUCAUUAUUCUGAAGUUACUAGCCACCCCACAUGAAUUUUGAAAAGUUGGACUUCUUGUAAUUGCUUUCACCCCAUUUGAACUAUGCAUUCUGGGACUUUUUGGUGCUUUCACCACAUUUGAACUUUGCAAUCUGGGACUUUUUGGUGCUUUCACUCCACAUGCAUUGCGCGAUUUGGAACCUUUGUUUGUUUUUGAUCUUCUUGGUACCAACAUGGAAGGUAAUUUCUUUAUUACUCUAGUAUGUAAUCUCCUAGUUUUACGUGUGUCUUCUUCCUGAAAAAAACAAUAUUGUUAGUAAUGGUAUUAUAACAGGGGAUAUGUCAAAAUUCAACAUGGGCGAGCUAAAAGGGAAGUUCAGUGCACAAAGCUCAUGUUACACGCCAAGGAAGAGCCUGACCACAUCGGAUCUAUUGUACGUAUCUUUUUGAGGUGUCAUUCAUCAAUUUAUAUGUUAAGGGAUGCUUCGUACACAAACCUCUCACUAUGCGCGAGGAAGAGUCUAACCCCGUUGGGUUUAUUGUAGGUAUCAUUCAUCAAUUUAUAAUAUGUUAAGGAAAGGUUGGUGCACAAAGUUUCUAUUAUGCACGAGAAAAAACCUUAGACCACAUUGGGUCUAUUGUAUUCAGGUUUACAUUACAUUUCUAUAAGAAACUAUUUAUUUUUUUAACAUAUGACCUCUUCGUUACAUGGCAACAACUCUUCCCGUUGCGCCCAAUAAUGUUCUCUCACCUCAUGGUCAAAGUUAACUUUCUUUGAUUUCCAUAGAGGUCCCCAAUAUGGUUUACACAAAAGAUUUCCAUAGAGGUCCCC
rnacentral:lncRNA from 1 species